UACGUAGGGUGCGAGCGUUGUCCGGAAUUACUGGGCGUAAAGAGCUCGUAGGUGGUUUGUCGCGUUGUUCGUGAAAACUCACAGCUCAACUGUGGGCGUGCGGGCGAUACGGGCAGACUAGAGUACUGGCAGGGGAGACUGGAAUUCCUGGUGUAGCGGUGAAAUGCGCAGAUAUCAGGAGGAACACCGGUGGCGAAGGCGGGUCUCUGGGCCGUAACUGACGCUGGAGGAGCGAAAGCAUGGGGAGCGAACAGGA
rnacentral:rRNA from 1 species